GUUUGAUUAGAGAGAGCGAGAGAGCGGAUGGCAGCGCCAGAACAACUGACCGCGCGCCAUUCCCGGACGCGGGGAGGUUUUACAAGGUGCGAAUAGCACAUAAACCCGACAGAUGAUUGAAAUCUGAAGCAAGACGGAGGCAUCCGGCGGUCGCACGCGCGCUGGAUCCGGAAACAGCUGGCAUGAUGAACUGAGGUCGUUACGCGCAACACAUGAGCGUGCCAGGGGAGACACGUCUGGGUCCGAACUCGGUGGGAACAAAUUCUGGGACGAGCAGCUUGCUCUCGGUGUAUCAAUGAGGAAUGUGACCGCGGCUGCCUCGGUCCAGACGGGGUGGAUGAAGCCCUUGGCGGUGUCAUGCGUUUUGCCCCGCAGCCAAGCGCGCAACUGCGGCUCAUAGCGUGUCUCCUCCUCACCGCGGGGGUCACCGCGUCCCCGGCCGUCUCCGCCGGCUGCCCGGACAGGUGUGUGUGCGAUGACCAGCUGGUGGUCCAGUGCGCCGGGCAGCACCUGACCAGCUUCCCGGUCAACCUGCCGCUGGCUACGCGGCAGCUCAUCAUCUCUAACAACCGCAUCGUGGAACUUCCGCCGCUCGCCCUCAACUACCUCUCGGACUUGGUCUACCUGGACUGCAGCAACAACUCCCUUACUGAAGUCUCAGAGUCCACCUUUGGGAAUCUGCGCAAACUGGCCUACCUGGACCUGUCCUUCAACACCUUACACCGGAUCGAGGACAGGACGUUCGGCCCCUUGUCUAGCCUUGUGAUGCUGAGGAUGACUGACAACCCGGGACUCUCCGUGAUCCACCCGGACGCGUUCGCGGAGAACGAGGCCCUUCAGGUGCUGGACGUGAGCCGGAACAACCUGACGUUCCUCAACAUCACGUCCCUGAUCGCCCAGCCGGGCCUGCGCUCCGUGGGGCUAAGCGGGAACCCCUGGAGCUGCCAGUGCGACACCGAGGACCUGUCUCUGUGGGUCCACCUGGAGAGCUUCAAGUUCCAAGAUGAGGGCCAGACGGUCUGUGACUCACCCGCUGACAUGCAAGGCCGUCGUCUGGGUGAGGUGGGCAUCCAGCUACGGACGUUGUGUCACCAGACUCUGGGCUCCUGGGACUACCUUUUCUUUGUGUUCAUUGGCUUUGUCAUCUUCGCUGCCGGUACUGUGUCAGCCUGGCUGAUGGGCGUGGUCAUGGUUCUCUACGAGCGCUACAUCAAGAAGAAAGAUGACCAGAUAAAUUUGGAAAACGAGGAUGAAGGUGAUGAGACAGGUCACAUGUCAAGAGGCAGAAAAGACCGUAAUAACAGGAGUUUACAAACUUCCUUCACUGUUUAAAAUGACCUGAUCCCACAGUGCCUCCUGUCAACGUCCACAUGAAGUCUGAUGAUGAGGUGAACUCUGUUCAACAGGCUUGGCUGUCUCCGAGAAAAUGGGAUUCAUCUAAAAAUAAGGAAUGUGUUCUUUUGCAUUUGCAGCGGGAUUCUGGGUGAUGUGAAACAUGAUAGACGUCAUGAUGGAGACCCCAUACUGGAUCAAACAUAGCGUUGUGUUUGAGUGAGAACUGGUUCUGUUAGCCAGUAAUGCAGCCCAUGUUAGCCAUAUGAACCCAUCCACUGGGCUCAACUAAUGGUCACAGUUUGGUUUUAGGAGUAGAACAAACAAACAAAACAAUUGCAGACGUAUCUUCUCUAAACUCACCUGGUUUUUGAAAAUCUCCCAAGUUACCUUCCUCUGUGUUUGAUCACCUGUCUAUUUAAAUAAGCCACACCCCUUCAUUGACCCCUCACUUUGCUCAGAUUUGACGGAUUUUCUUCGAGGUACAAGAAACAGAAAUUAAAUAGUCAAAUGCAACCCCGCAGUUAAAGAGCAAGUCACCCCCCAAUCCACUUUUUUGCUGAUAAACUGUAUAACUGAGCUGUAGACAUAUGUAGUCAUUAUUUUGGCUUUUUAGUGCAUCUUAUGACAUUCUGCCUAAAACUGAGUGAUACAGCUGAGAGCCUAGAGCGGGGUGGGGGUGUUACGGUCAGUCCCUGCCUCAGCGCCGCCCUCCCCAGGCGACCUCUCUUCUUAGUGCGUUUUUCAAACAGGAAGUGUGGGUGGAGUAAAACUUGUCAGGGUGGUGACUUGUUCUUUAAAAACAAAAUAAGACAAGACCUCCCCCUCAAGAGGCUGUUUCCAGUACAAGUUUUAACCCCGCCCCCUACAUGUAGUCAUAUAAGACACAGAUGGCUAAAAACUCACCUCAGAUUCUAUUCAAGGCGAUCGAUUUAGCUGAUUUCCGUAGUGGUUGCCUGUAUCUUCAAAUGUUCCUUCUUCUUCAGCUGUAAUUGGAUGCCGAAAUAACAGUGUGAUUGUGUGCUGCAGAGUGGGCGGGGCUUUAAGCUGCACAUCCACAGACUCUGAUUACAAAUGUGAUUACAUUGCAGCGUCUACCUGGAACGUCACAGCGUGGAAGACGACAGAGAUGCUAGUUUUAAAUCUCUCCAACAGUCCAAAGGCUAAAUGAGAGCAUGGUGAAAAGUUUGGCAGAUGGGAACUGAUCGUGAGCAAGGCCAACCCUUGUGACUCAGAUGGAGAAGACAUAGUCCUUCAACCAGAUACGGACUCUGAGCUGUCUUCAGAUGAGGAGACUCCUCUACCAAAAAAAGAGAGCUCGGUUGGGGAGUUAGCUGACAGAGACCUCAAAAGAUGGCACUGUGUGGUGUGAAAAACAAGUGGGGACAUGUCUCCAUAUCACUCCAAUAGAACCUUACGCCACAGCUGGAGAGCAAACGGCUAAGGCCAAACGAUGUACCCGGAGUUGCCUUCAGAGCUUCCUCCGUUUUGUCACUCUGAACAUGUUUCGAACCAUUCAAGAAUGGACUACUCCGCAUGCACGUCACACGGAGCAGGUGGAUUGGUUCUUGGAUCUCCCUGAACUAAUGGCACUUAUUGCAGUCAUUAUCUUGCAGGGGGUGACCAAGGUUCCUUCACUACUUGACAGCUGGUCAGCAAACCUGGCAAACCCAAGGAUCAUUGAAACUAUGGCCCGAUACCGCUUCCAAGACAUCAUGCAACACUUACGCUUUGAUGACAUGUUCACAUGCAGUGAGCGAGCGGAGACCAAUAAGUUUGCUGCAAUCUCCGAUGUGUGAGGAUCGUUUGUCACCAACUGCAUCGCAUCCUACAACCCUGGUCAACACAUCACUAUUGAUGAACAGCUUUUCCCAUCAAAGACUCGCUGCUGUUUCCUACAAUACAUUGCAACAAAACCGGACAAGUUUGGCAACAUGUUUUGGGUGGCUUGCGACUUAAAAUCAAAGUACAUCUGUGUUGUGAUUCUUAAUCAACGAAUAAUUUGUAAGCUUCACUUACUUUUUGGAUUCUUCAACAAAAUUCGUAAAUAUGGAAAUAUUUACCAAUUUUAUUACGUAAUUAGGAUAUCUGGAGAUAUCCUCGGGGCACCACCCCUUUAACAGGGGAACAAUGAAUCCACACCUCUUAUCAAUCUUGUCUAAACUUUCCGUGAAAUCGUAACGAGCUGCAGUUAAUUUAUAUCAACACAAACAAAUCAUCUGAGACAAAAUCUUAAUUGGCAAUGACCUUUAUUAACGAAUAUAUUCACUUCAGCUCCUUCUAAAGUGUCUAGCCAAUCAACAUCAACCAACUUAUUUUAUCAAACAAAUAAGUAAUUAUGAAAUAAUAAUGAUAAUGUGAAAUGAUGAUCUGAUAGGCGGGGUAACAGGAUGGAGGUAGUUGAAAACCCAAAAUGGCUGACUCCUGGGAUCAAACCACUUGUGGAAUGUGUGUGUGUGUGUGUGUGUGUGUGUGUGUUUAACUUGUCUUCUCUCCCCACCACACUGAAAACCAGUGUGUGUGGGAGGUGUGUAAGUUUUCUCAAACUUUCAGUCAGUGGCUUAACUUUCAUGCACAGUAACUUAAACCAAACUUCAAAACCACUUCACAAAGAUCAAUAAACACAACAAAAGAUCACUCAAAGGCAAAUUAAAUAUCUAACGAUCUGUUUUAUGCUGUGGCCACAGCUCAAAACAACUUAGAUAUUACAAUGAAAGGAAAGAUCUUACUUUGAGAUGAUUUCGAUGACGUAUUUGGUACGGGAAAUAGAAAGACCGUUUUUCUAAUUUGAAGCGAUCAACGCGGCCGAACGCUCCUUCUGAACUAUAAGAGAACGGAAGAAAAAGUGAGAGAGAGAAAAAACUUUGAACGAACGAACAGCGAGGCGUCCCUCAGUGUUCAAUCGGCGUUCUCCGUUGCUUCCAGUAGUUCGGUGUUCCGUCCACUUCAGCAGCUAGACCUCGUGCACAUGCUGUCCGGAGCCGUAGCAACCGAGUGCGUCUUCACGCCAGUUGAACUGGAACAAAAGACAGAUAAGUUUCGUUCUGUCUCCCUUUUAUAGACUCGGCUGUCCGGCGGGCUGGACUCUGUGAGGGUGUGCUCAUGCGUGGAACUUGUUUUCCGGGGUGACAUCAUCACGUUGCUUCCGGUAGCAGGGAAUCAUGGGACAUGAAGUUGUUGCUGGCGCUGAUUUUUAAUAUGCCUUUUAUUCACGCUCCAGGGUGUUUUUGGCACAGUCUUUUGGAGAAAUUACUGCAUAGUAAUUUUCUCACGAGGGCAGACCCUCAACAUCUGCAAUGUCCUCCCAUAUCUUGGCAAGGACCCUCGUCGUCCCAGCGGGGAGAGGCUGUCUUGAGAGUGUAGUGAUGAGGCUAAUGGAACCAUUCAUGGACAAGGGCAGAACUGUAACCACGGACAAUCUCUCUACAGCUGCUCUGGAUGACAGGCAUCCUCUUCUGAAUGACUGAUUUGUUGGCGUUCAUCUGUGAUGUUCGGCAUGUUUUCAGCUAAACAGCAAACAGAGAGAGUGCUGAUGGAUGCUGAGACCCAGGAGGAGGACGGUCUGGCUGCUGGCACAGCUCUGCACACAGGCUCAGAGGCAACAAAAGGUCAUUUGAGACGAGAUGGUGUGUGUCCUUUCUGUGCAUCACAGAGCCUGGAGAAGUGUGUGUGUGUGCGCAUGUGUGUGUUUUCCUGCUCAGUUCUGCCUUCCUCUACUCUUAGAAUGUUCUUCCCUUUGGUCUACUUAGAAGGUUAGCUGGUGUUUAGUUAGCUCCCUGUUCCAAGACCCUCUGACACACACGCAGACACACACACUCACACACACAGCCAGGAGGUGUGUGCCACUGUGGGUAUUGUGGGAGACCAGAGCAGACCAGUUCAGAGCGGUGUUAAUCCAGUAAAGAAGUCUGCAUGAGCGAGAUAACUACUCUGAGCAGCUCCGGUACUUCAGACUGAGAGCGAAGCUGCAAAUGCGUCUGUGAUAUUUUUGCACCAUCAGUCGUGGAACAUGACAGCGGCUUUCAUUUUCUUUGACUCCCCCUCUCCUGCUAUCUUUAGCAGCUCUCUCUUCUCUUCCUGUAUUUAACUCCUUUUCUUCUCUAUUUCUGGACAUCAGUCCUCUUUUUUUGCACCUGUCAUUUUCCACUCAGAUCACGUUGUUUCCGGUUUCCAUCCCUCUGACAGGGUUCAGCACGCAGCGAUAUCUGAUUACGUAAUUCCUUCAUGAGAUAGAUAUGAGGAUCACUGGUGUCGGCCCUCUGAAACAGAUUUUCAGCAGUGCUUGACCACCAGGGAUAGUGAAAGCCAAUGAUUUUGUAUCCACCAGAGAAAUGGAAAGUGUUGGCCAGUUUGUUCUGAAUAAUUAUCUGGUGAGGCCAGUCUAUCUUUACCACACAGCACUCGUCCACAAACUGUUGCAGACUGAGCAGGAAGCUUCAGACAGCAGGACGAUGCAAGCUGACACUCAACACAAACAAAAGGAAUUCACAUGUUUCACGGAAGAAUUCUGAACCAGGAUCAUCAAAUGAUGGAGCUUUUGAUCCAGUCUCAGAUGAUCCGUUGCCACUCAGAGCGUGCCAUGUGUUACUAACCUAUCUAGAAUCUCUAAAGUUCAUUGAAAAUUAAAUAAAAUUAUUAAACCCAUGUUAAGAGUCCUGGUUCUUCCAUGCGUAUCAUUACUUAACCGUUAUGCACUGGUUCUGGCCCCGCGUGUGGUGUUUCAGGGGCGGCGUUAGGCCCGGCUACUUGGGCUGAAGCCCCGGAUCUAAAUCGCGGAAGUAACAUGCAGUACCAAAGUCCAACAGAGAGGGAGCAGCUGGCAGUAGUUUGUAUACAGCCUGCCUGAGCCUCCACCACAGAAGAAGAAGCCCUUCAGCAGCUGGCUUCUUCUACACUCUCUGCCUGAAACGCAUGAGUGAAGAUGGACAUAAGGAUGUUUUUUAGACCAAAAGUACAACGACAGAACCCCAGCUUUGAUGAGACUGGUGCUGACUCAGGUUUGUGGGUCUUAUUUGAAAAUAUUUGUUGUGCUGCUGGUUUGCCUAAAGUUAGCUUAUCAGGUAAAGUUGUUGGAGAAAGAAAGGGAAUAUUUACUAUCAUCUCACACUAAACACUAACAGGAACAAUACUCUGCCCUGAAAAUGCUUAAUAUGUAGCUUCAGAUUAAAAAUUAUGUGGUACAAGACAUAUAUGAUGUUGACUAGUGCGUGUCACGUGUGUGUGUGCGCGCGCACGUGUGUGUGUGUGUUAAGCUCCGGAUCUUCUUCAGUCCUAAAUCCACCCCUGCAGCUACUGCUGCGGGACUAAAUGUCACAAGCAGCUUUAAAAUGUUUGAGGAACCUCUUUAAAUUCCCCCAGAAGAAUUAAGGACAAGCAGAAACAAAACUUGAAAGUUAAAGAAGAUGGUGCAACAAAAACAAAAUCAUGUCAGCUGCUUCCUCUGCUCUUCCAAAGGAAUCAUAAAUAGACCAACUUGUGCAGGCUGUGUAGAGGAGCUGCCCUUCCUGCUGGGUUACAUAAAACAUAAUGAAUCCAGCAUCCAGAGAAGAGGGAGGCUCAUUAUGAAGGCACAGUGUCUCAGAUUCAAUUAGACCACCAGCUACAUGGUAACUUCAUGUGUCAUCACACUUUUAACACCAGAAUGUUUCCAAGGCUCAAAGGACUGCGGCUCUGAGGCACCAUCUAGUGGUAGACUGUGGUACUGCGUAUGAAACAACAGCAGCGAUAACAUAAAUCCUGAUUUCGUCUUCAGAAUCACUUUUGUCGAAGCUUAAAGUGACUUUUUUGUUCUUUGUCUCCCAGAACCUGCAGCUUUCUCUGAGAAUCAUUUCUCAUGCAUGGUGGCGCAGCGCUUAGCACUGUUGCCUCGCAGCACGAAGGCUGUAGGUUCAAAACUCGGCCGCGGCCUUUCUGCGUGGAGUUGCGUGUUCUCCCCAUGCAUGCGUGGGUUUCCUCCGGGUACUUCGGUUUCCCCCACAGAUCACAACAUGCCCUAUAGGUUAUAAAUUGUGAGUCGCUUUGGAUAAAAGCUUCUGCCAAAUACAAAUAAACAUAAACAUUUCUUUUUCUGUCCCUCUCACCCAUGUUGUCUGCAGUUGUUCAGAGCGAUCAGACCCUAAUGAGCACUAAUAGCUCCAAACUUUACUUCACAGGCUGCUCCAGAAUAAAACUGGCAGUGUUAGCUGUGUGCAUGAGCAGGUAGCAGGAGAAACGACUGGACUUGUCAGAGACUUGUGACCCUAACUACUGCUGGUUCAGUAAACAAACACAGCUCACAUAGAGCCUUUGAUAAUGCUGGAUCUAAUUGUAAUUACUAGAUUCCAUCUUUAAUGCUAAUCAUGUUGACGGUCUUUAUUUUCAGAGCUGAUCUGGUUUCUGCAGAUCCUCUAAAGGCCCUUCACAGUGGGGCCCUG